rnacentral:rRNA from 1 species
UACGGGGGGGAGCAAGCGUUUGUUCGGAUUUACUGGGCGUAAAGGGCGCGUAGGCGGUCAGCACAAGUCAGUUGUGAAAUCUCCGGGCUUAACUCGGAAAGGUCAACUGAUACUGUGCGACUAGAGUGCGGAAGGGGCAACUGGAAUUCUCGGUGUAGCGGUGAAAAUGCGUAGAUAUCGAGAGGAACACCAACGGCGAAGGCAGCACUCUGGGCUGGAACUGACGCUGAGGAGCGAAAGCGUGGGUAGCAAACAGG